rnacentral:tRNA from 1 species
GGUGGCUCAGUGGUAGAGUGCUUGCUUCCCAUGCAUUAGGCCCUGGGUUCGAUUCCUCAGCACCA